rnacentral:lncRNA from 1 species
AAUUGUUUAUUUAAUUUUGUAAUUUACUGAAAUGGAAACAUUACCUCUGUUAAGUGUUGUCUUGACUUCCUCUGAUACAUGUUUACUGUACAUCUUCAAUUGCUUCAAGUGUUUAGAAUGGAAACUAAUACUAAAGGCAUUAAACUCAGAUAUUUAAAAAUCAUUUUAGAUCUGCACUAUCAAAAGUGCAAUUAAUAUUGUUAUAAAAUUAAAAGCCAUUUUUUUGGUGGCAUUUAUAAGUUAUAACUAUAUUUUUAUUUCAAUUCUAGGCUAAUCUCUAGGAAAGUAACACUGAAAAGCAGUGAAAAAAAGUUACCAUUUUAUUUUAUUACCAGUAGGCAUGGUGCCUCCAGUAGACAUGGUGCCUAAGUCAAGACACAUAGUCCUUCAAAUAUGGUUAUUUUAUAUAAGUGCUUCGUUGUAGAUCUGGUAGUGGUUUAUUAGUGAAAAGUUGUUUUUAGAUAUAGUAUAAUAAAUGUUGUGUCUAUUGGUUGUAAACAUAGUAUAAAUUAUUAUGGAGACACUUGUUUUAGUAUUUGACUGUUUAAUGCUGAUUUUACACUUUUGCCUGGUGCUUCACUUAUAUGUUAAAUUAUACUUUGGCUGACAAUUUAUUGGUUAUUUUUGCAACAUCUUCCCUGUAUAAUUGAAGCAUAAAACCAUUUUGCAUGCUUUAAAUAGGUUUUUCAUUAUAUAGAUUGUUUUUAUACAACCCUUCUAUCACUAACUUGAUGUGUAUUUACCUUGUUUUCAAAACUUUACUGAUUAUUAAGAACAGUGGUCUCCAUACUCUAUAUACUAAUAUAAUUGCCAUUCCUCCGUGGCUGACUUUGUAUGACAAUUCUUUAAUAUAGGUGAAAGUUGCUGGUGAUCGGGGCAUUUAACAUUGGGCAUUAGUUUUAUGGAAUGUCAAUUUAUUUUUACAUAUUUUGACCCAUUUUGCAUUACAAAUAUUUUGUUUUUCUUAUUUCAGUAUUUAAAUGAUCUUGACGGCAAACUUGAAUAAAUUUACAUUUGUUUACAUUUAGUGUUUUUGAAAAGUAUAUAUUAACUAGUCAUAAUUAGUGAAGAAAUUUGACAGAUUUUAUAUAUUAAUGAAAAAAUUCUAUUCAUUAUAUAUAAUUAAAUUCCACCUCAAAAAAUGGACCUUCUAGUACAAUGUCAACAUAAAACUUUUUACUUACUAUUAAAUAACAAUUUUUAAAAUCCAGGCUUAUAAAUGUUAAUUGUCUAUAUAUUCCCAUGGUGAUUGUUAUUUAAAUUUUUCUGCAAUAGAUUGAUUUAUCUUGCCUUAAUAAUUGCCUUAGUGCCAUUAUGCCAUUAUAGUGCAAUACUUCAGUUGUAAAGUGACAUAAUUUGCCUGAGUGGUUUUGCUUGUUUAUUGUUCAUUAGAUAACUUCAGAUGAUCUUGAAGAAUUUGACCUUAAUUUUUCUGCAUACAAAAUAAAAAGAUUUUUUUUUUUAAGAGUUGUAAGGUUCCACUGCAUAAGGGAGAUCAAAUGUUGAAAAGAAAAAUGCAAAGAAGGUUUUUCAACCUUAUAACUUGUUCCUGAAGGCAAUUUUACAGCCAUUCAAUAAUGAAGGAAAUAUGGUUAUUGCAUUUCAGGUAAUUUAAUUGAUAACAUUUAUUCCAGGGUUUAAAUGGAUACUUUAUUGGUACAAUUUCUAGCAAUGAUUUUUACCUCAGGUUUUGGUGAUUUUGUGAUUCCUUUGUAGUUGUAACUAUGCAACAUAGUUUUAUAUUCAAUGUUUAUCGUGCGUUGUUGUACAAUGUAGCAUUUAUCCUCUUAAUAAAGAAAUUGUGAAAAUGUACUUCUUCAUUUUUAUGCCCCACCUACAAUAGUAAAGGAGCAUUAUGUUUUCUGGUGUGUGCGUCCAUCAGUCUGUUCGUUCGUUCGUCUGUUUGUUUGUUCAUCUGUUCGUUCGUUUUUCUGUUCGUCCCUUCGUCCGUUUGUCCUGCUUCAGGUUAAACUUUGGUCAAGGUAAUUUUUGAUGCAG